GCUGGUUUCAGGUGGGGAAGCCCCACACAACCACCUGGUUUUGGUUCAGAGAAGUGAAUGUAUGGCUGAUCUCCAAUAUCACCAGAACCCUGGAAAGAGCCUUUCCUUUUAAAAGAGAGCUGCUUGAGAGCUGUCAAGGACUUCCCAACUUUGAAGUUGCAUUUGGGGCACAACAGAAUUACCAAGUACCAGAACAAGAAAACCCACAAAGCAGGAGUCCAGAGCUGCCAGGUUUGUAUCCAGUUCAAGUGACAGACACCAUAUGUGUACUAGCUAGUAGCCCUCACCGCCUGUAUGUGCAGCCUCUCAAGUGA
ensembl:lncRNA